AAAUAAGCAGGAAGUUCAAUGGGAUGGGAUAUUUACAAAUUUCACUUGUUAGCCACUUGGCCAACGGGAGAUUUCAAGAGAUACUUUUUCUUUUGCUAUUUCAAGUGCUAUUUCAAUUCAUUUAAUAUUUUGAAGUUGAGAUGUAUUUAAAAAAAAAAAAAAAAAAAGUUAACAUCCAUGCCCUCCCAGUACUCUAAAACUACAUCUUGGGUUAAUAUGUGUCCUUUAAAAAAUAAUAAUAAUAAUAAUAAUAAUCAUUAAAUCGAAACCUCAUUAGAUAAACUUCAACAAUAUAAUCAAAGACAUCAACACGACAUUUAAAAUACCGUAUGCUAAAAGCAAAACUAGCACAGGACAAAAGCCGUAUGAAAACUACUAACCCAUAUCACCACAAUUAUCCAUAAGUUCAAACAAAGUCCACAAACCCAACAUACCCUAAAACAACCCAUGAACUUAGACGAACCCUACCACCACCACCUGAAGAAGCGCCGUCGCGGCCACACCCAUCACCUCAUCCAUAACAGAUAUGGGGAAAAUAUGAUUUCUAGCGAUCUACUUGAGCAUAAGAGCGAACAAAUAAACAAAAACAAGAAUCUUGCUAAAGAACAAUUGGGUGAUUUGCAUCAAUUUCAGUCAAAGAUGAUGUAGAAUCAAAUUUAGAGAACAUGAGCGAAGUUUUUUUUUUUUUUCAGGAAUAGAUGCUUUAUUAAAAUAAUAAGUACCAUAAGCGACGUUGGAGAGCGGGUUUUGGUAUCAGGAUUUGAUUGAGAACAUAGAUUAAAAUGGGUGAUGGGAAACUUCAAUCUAACCAUUGCUCAAAAGAAACCACCACAAGGGGCUUUUUAUUCAAACCAUCCAGUGAACUUACUUAUUAAAGUGAAUGUUAGCUGUAAAUAUGAAGGUUCCAAACCGAACAUUUGUAUAUCAUCGACCUUUAAGAAUUUAAGUUAGGAUAAAAUAAAUAACUAAAUUAAAGGUUCACUGCAAUUCAACAUAACAAAUACAUAUAAUUUUUACAAUGAACUCUAAAAUCAAUUUUAAAACUGUUUUGUUUGUUGUUGUUCUCUUUGUUAUUGAUCCCAUCCUCACUCUUCUCUUUUACCCAAUGGAAAACAGAAAACCAAAAUUUUUAACUAAAAAAUGAAAACGAAAACAGAAAUGUCACCAAACGAGAGCUUUUUAUUAUGGGAAGUGCUAGCAACCUUCUCUCUAACCUUCUCUUUUGGACCUUCUCCCUUCUUCUUAUGACAAGUGUCACUUUCCAUACACUAAAAACAAUGUCAUUAAUGCAUCACACAAACUAGUUUUUGUUUUUCAAGUUUAAUUUUUUUUAAUUUUUAAUUUUUCCAAAAAGAACGCGUGUUUUGUUAAAAACAAAAUAAAGAUGAUAACAAUAUCAUGAAACAAACUUUAUUUUUAUUUUUAAAAAAUAUGAAUUUUUUUUAAAUGUUUUUUUAAAUAUUUAUUUUUUAACAAUGUGCUAAAGAAGUUAUAAUAAAUUGAAGGAAAUAUAAAAGCUAAUAUAUUUUAAAAGGGUAAACUUGGAAAAUAAAAACUAAAUUAUGUGAUACAUUAAUGACAUUGUUUUAAGUGUAAGAAAAAUGACACUUGUCAUAAAGAGAAAAGAGAAAAUCCAAAAAAAAAAAUUAGAGAAAAAAUUACUAUUAUUCCUCUUUUAUUAUUUGAUAGAUUUAAUCUCAUUUUCAAUAGAGCCACGGUGAAAACAAAACAAAACAAAAUAAAAUUUCCGAAACGCAGAAACAGAAAAGACAGAAAAGGAAUUUCCAAGUCUCUCUCUCUCUCUCCCCCACCCAUAAGAAGCCGCACCGCGUUCAAAGUUUCAACCUUUCAACUUUCAACUACUCUACUCUGCUCAUAAUUUCCUCUCACUUUCGCAAACCCUUUUCUGAAUUUUUUUAUUAAUUUUUAAAUUGUGGACAUUAAAGUCCAAUUCUUUUUCAGAAACGGGGACGACGAACUGCUAUAAAAUAAAGCCAAAGUAAAGUCCUUUUUUCCUCACAUCUAAAUAAGAAAUUGAGUUUCCUCUGGAAACCAAUUCUGAAGCUCUGUUUUUUUCCCAAAUUUUCACUGACCAUGCCGCUUCCGUGGAAGAAGAUGCGGGUGAACCGAAUUUCCCAAUUCGUCGCCGAUCUCCAAUCACCGAAACGGGGCGGUUCACUCGUGGUCCAGACUGGUUUUCCGACCUCCCUCGUCGACCUCUUCGUCAAGAACCGCGAUCACUUGAAAAAGC
rnacentral:lncRNA from 1 species